rnacentral:rRNA from 1 species
CCUACGGGAGUCAGCAGUGAGGAAUAUUGGUCAAUGGACGAGAGUCUGAACCAGCCAAGUAGCGUGAAGGAUGACUGCCCUAUGGGUUGUAAACUUCUUUUAUAUGGGAAUAAAAUGUUCCACGUGUGGGAUUUUGUAUGUACCAUAUGAAUAAGGAUCGGCUAACUCCGUGCCAGCAGCCGCGGUAAUACGGAGGAUCCGAGCGUUAUCCGGAUUUAUUGGGUUUAAAGGGUGCGGAGGUGGAUUGUUAAGUCAGUUGGGAAAGUUUGCGGCUCAACCGUAAGAUUGCCGUUGAAACUGGCAGUCUUGAGUACAGUAGAGGUGGGCGGAAUUCGUGGUGUAGCGGUGAAAUGCUUAGAUAUCGCGAAGAACUCCGAUUGCGAAGGCAGCUCACUGGACGGGAACUGACACUGAGGCUCGAAAGUGUGGGUAUCAAACAGGAUUAGAUACCCUGGUAGUC